UUCUUGAUCUCUUCCUCUCAUCUCUAACAGUUUGUUGCAGGAAAAUGAGAAGCAUUUGGAAGCUAGAAUUGAAUGUACGUGUUUGGUUUUAAGAUUAGCUUUGGAUUGCUCUGCAGAGUCGGCUGAAGAUAGAGAGAAUAUGACAGAGGUUUUAGCAGCACUAAAGAAGAUUAGACAGAGGUUUCAGAAGAAUACUGGACGGAGACGGUGACUAAAACCAAACAUGCCAUUCAAGUGACACUAUGAUUUCCAUAUAUAUAUAUANNNNN
rnacentral:lncRNA from 1 species